rnacentral:rRNA from 1 species
ACCAUUUAAAGAGUGCGUAAUAGCUCACUGGUCGAGAGACGCUGCGCCGAAAAUGUCCGGGGCUCAAGCACGGAACCGAAGCUAUGGCAUUGCGUAAGCAAUGGGUAGGGGAGCGUUCUUAUGGGGAAGAAGCAUUACCGUAAGGAGAUGUGGACACAUAAGAAGUGAGAAUGCCGGUAUGAGUAUCGAAAAGAAAGGUGAGAAUCCUUUCCACCGAAAGCCCGAGGGUUCCUGAGCAACGAUCGUCGUCUCAGGGUAAGUCGGGACCUAAGCCGAGGCACAGACGCAUAGGCGAUGGACAACAGGUUGAAAUUCCUGUACCGGAUGGAGUCAUUUGAGCAAUGGAGUGACGCAGGAGGGCACAUGAUCGCGCGACUGGAAGAGCGCGUCCAAGUGCGUAUGUUGAAUCGGAGGCAAAUCCCCGAUUCUGAAAGCAGAGACAUGAUGGGGAGUUAUAAGCGAUUAUGACGAACUCAUGGAUCCCACACUGCCAAGAAAAACUUCUAGCGAGACGAAAUCCGCCCGUACCGUAAACCGACACAGGUAGGCGGGGAGAGAAUCCUAAGGUGCGCGGGAAAACCCUCGUUAAGGAACUCGGCAAAUUGCAUCCGUAACUUCGGGAGAAGGAUGGCCCUGAGUAGGCGAAGUGCAGAAACGCACGGAACAGAAAAGGGUGGCAGAAAAGAGGCCCAAGCAACUGUUUACCAAAAACACAGGUGCCUGCGAAAGCGAAAGCUGAAGUAUAGGUGCUGACGCCUGCCCGGUGCUGGAAGGUUAAGGAGAGAGGUUAGCGCAAGCGAAGCUUUGAACUGAAGCCCCAGUGAACGGCGGCCGUAACUAUAACGGUCCUAAGGUAGCGAAAUUCCUUGUCGGGUAAGUUCCGACCCGCACGAAAGGUGUAACGACUUGGGCACUGUCUCAACGAGGGACCCGGUGAAAUUGAAGUACCUGUGAAGAUGCAGGUUACCCGCGACUGGACAGAAAGACCCCAUGGAGCUUUACUGCAGCUUGAGAUUGAAUCCCGGUGGCAGACGCACAGGAUAGGUGGGAGGCUUUGAGAUAGUGACUUUGGUUGCUAUGGAGCCGACGUUGGGAUACCACCCUUCUGUUGCUGGGAUUCUAACGCGAAGAUUAACAACCUUGCGGACCAUCUCAGGUAGGCGGUUUGACUGGGGCGGUCGCCUCCGAAAGAGUAACGGAGGCGCCCAAAGGUUCCCUCAGGCCGGACAGAAACCGGCCGAAGAGUGCAAAGGCAGAAGGGAGCUUGACUGCGAGACAGACAAGUCGAGCAGAGACGAAAGUCGGGCUUAGUGAUCCGGUGGUACUGCGUGGAAAGGCCAUCGCUCAACGGAUAAAAGCUACCCUGGGGAUAACAGGCUAAUCUCUCCCAAGAGUUCAUAUCGACGGGGAGGUUUGGCACCUCGAUGUCGGCUCAUCACAUCCUGGAGCUGGAGUAGGUUCCAAGGGUUGGGCUGUUCGCCCAUUAAAGUGGUACGCGAGCUGGGUUCAAAACGUCGUGAGACAGUUUGGUUCAUAUCCAUCGCGGGCGCAAGAAGUUUGAGGGAGGCUGCUCCUAGUACGAGAGGACCGGAGUGGACGGAUCAACGGUGUACCAGUUGUCACGCCAGUGGCACGGCUGGAAAGCCGCAUCCGGAAAGGAUAAACGCUGAAAGCAUCUAAGCGUGAAGCCCGUCCCAAGAUGAGACUUCU